AAACCGGUCAAACCGUACGGAUUUAAGAGAAAUGGGCGGGUUUAUAUGGGUGAACGGGUCACACGGUUCACUAAUGCAGGUUUGGUAGGGUUGGAUUGGGCGGGCCCGGUUCAAGAAAGACAAACCGUCGGUGUCCGACCCCACCCGUACUACUACUAGAGUCAAUAUAAUAAAAUUAUUUUGUCUCUCUCAAACCCUAACUCACUUCCCUGCACCCACAAAAUUUUCUUCCUCUCUCUUCCUAUAUCUCUCUUGUAUAACCUGCCGCUUUCACCGCCACCACAAAUAUUAAUCCACCAAAUCUCUCUACCAUUCUCACUCUCACUCUCACCAUCGUUGUCCCUCAAUAGUGACUUUUCUUCGCCGUCACCACAUCCCCUGGAAUCAACACUUUCACUGAUAUAAAGACCAUUCUUAAUACUGAACUUUGAUGAUAGAUCUGGUCUAUUGAAGCAUUUUUUUCUUAUACCAUUUACUUAAAGCUUGUAGCCCGAUGGUAUCAUAUCUGCAAGGUGGAUCUACAAGAUAAAUGGAUUUUGCUCCUCUAUUCGCUCAAUACUGCUUGCUUCCUGUGUUGGCUCAAGGGAACCCACAACUCUUUUUGAGAGGCAGUAUGCUCAUUUUGCUCAUCUUGAACCUGCCAAGGCAGCUCGGCAGCUCAUAGUUUAAAUGGGAAAUUGGAGAUUGUUGUCAUGAAUAUAAAGGUUGUUACAGAUCAUGUAGGAAGUUAAGAUACAACUGCAAAAUUCGCAAAUUUGAUGAUUAUGAAGGUGGAUUGAGCAUGUAAGGUGUGAACUCAGAAGAUGAACAAUUUAAUUGAAGGAAUUGGGAAGUUGAAUAUGAGCAGCAACCUGAAGCUGAAUAAUUAGAGUUUCUAAAUUUUUGUAGAUUUAUAAUAAAGCAUAGCAUAUAGAUGAAGACUGGUAAUUUAACAUCAUAAAAAUAUUAUAUUAUAUAUUUAACAACAGGGGGAGAAAAGUACUGGGAAUUUGUAACUAGUGUCCUUUCAAUAAAGGAAAUUUCAUUUAUGUUCAAUGUAAUAA